GACGAACGCUGGCGGCGUGCCUAAUACAUGCAAGUAGAACGCUGAAGAGAGGAGCUUGCUCUUCUUGGGUGAGUUGCGAACGGGUGAGUAACGCGUAGGUAACCUGCCUGGUAGCGGGGGAUAACUAUUGGAAACGAUAGCUAAUACCGCAUAAAAUUGAUUAUUGCAUGAUAAUUAAUUGAAAGAUGCAACUGCAUCACUACCAGAUGGACCUGCGUUGUAUUAGCUAGUUGGUGAGGUAACGGCUCACCAAGGCGACGAUACAUAGCCGACCUGAGAGGGUGAUCGGCCACACUGGGACUGAGACACGGCCCAGACUCCUACGGGAGGCAGCAGUAGGGAAUCUUCGGUAAUAGGGGGAACCCUGACCGAGCAACGCCGCGUGAGUGAAGAAGGUUUUCGGAUCGUAAAGCUCUGUUGUAAGAGAAGAACGGGUGUGAGAGUGGAAAGUUCACACUGUGACGGUAUCUUACCAGAAAGGGACGGCUAACUGCGUG
rnacentral:rRNA from 1 species